rnacentral:rRNA from 1 species
AUUGAACGCUGGCGGCAUGCCUUACACAUGCAAGUCGAACGGUAACAGGUCUUCGGAUGCUGACGAGUGGCGAACGGGUGAGUAAUGCAUCGGAACGUGCCCAGUCGUGGGGGAUAACUGCUCGAAAGAGCAGCUAAUACCGCAUACGAUCUAUGGAUGAAAGCGGGGGACCGUAAGGCCUCGCGCGAUUGGAUCGGCCGAUGUCAGAUUAGGUAGUUGGUGGGGUAAAGGCUCACCAAGCCAACGAUCUGUAGCUGGUCUGAGAGGACGACCAGCCACACCGGGACUGAGACACGGCCCAGACUCCUACGGGAGGCAGCAGUGGGGAAUUUUGGACAAUGGGGGCAACCCUGAUCCAGCAAUGCCGCGUGCAGGAAGAAGGCCUUCGGGUUGUAAACUGCUUUUGUACGGAACGAAACGGUCUGGGUUAAUACCCUGGGCUAAUGACGGUACCGUAAGAAUAAGCACCGGCUAACUACGUGCCAGCAGCCGCGGUAACAC